GGCGGUUACACUUUUGUUGAUGAGGUAAAAAAAUAGAAUAGUUGAUAGAUACCUCAGCAAAUAUGUUUAUUUUAUUUGUAAUGUCAAAUAUUGGCUUUCUUUUUCUUUUCUUUUCUUUUCUUUUCUUUUUUUUUUU
rnacentral:ribozyme from 13 species